GCUCCUUCGACACCAGUUUAAUCAACCUGCUCCCUCGGAUAAGACGAAUCACUCGAAGCUUCCCAUGGGAGAGGGAUCUCGCACUUGUAUCUGUAGGGGCACGACAAUUAAAGCAUGAUGGAGGGACAACAGGACUCGGGAUGAAAGAAAGGACCGGCGUGAAGCAAUAGUGGCGUGUCUGUGGAGGAGACUGGGAUUGGAACAUGUGCACGUUUUGGUCGUGUCUCAAACCUUGGUUUAUUAGGUUGGCGGACUUUGACCGGACGUUGGAUUGGGAAGUAGAUGAUGGAGUUCGG
rnacentral:lncRNA from 1 species